UACGUAGGGGGCAAGCGUUGUCCGGAUUUAUUGGGCGUAAAGCGCGUGUAGGCGGCCACACAGGUCCGCUGUGAAAACUCGAGGCUCAACCUCGAGCUGUCGGUGGAAACCGUAUGGCUAGAGUCCGGAAGAGGAGAGUGGAAUUCCUGGUGUAGCGGUGAAAUGCGCAGAUAUCAGGAAGAACACCCGUGGCGAAGGCGGCUCUCUGGGACGGUACUGACGCUGAGACGCGAAAGCGUGGGGAGCGAACAGG
rnacentral:rRNA from 1 species